CCUACGGGGGGCAGCAGUGAGGAAUAUUGGUCAAUGGGCGCGAGCCUGAACCAGCCAAGUCGCGUGAGGGAAGACGGUCCUAUGGAUUGUAAACCUCUUUUGUCGGGGAGCAAAAGACGCCACGCGUGGCGUUCCGAGAGUACCCGAAGAAAAAGCAUCGGCUAACUCCGUGCCAGCAGCCGCGGUAAUACGGAGGAUGCGAGCGGUAUCCGGAUUUAUUGGGUUUAAGGGGUGCGCAGGCGGAAUUUCAAGUCAGCGGUAAAAUUGAGAGGCUCAACCUCUUCGAGCCGUUGAAACUGGUUGUCUUGAGUGAGCGAGAAGUAUGCGGAAUGCGUGGUGUAGCGGUGAAAUGCAUAGAUAUCACGCAGAACUCCGAUUGCGAAGGCAGCAUACCGGCGCUCAACUGACGCUCAUGCACGAAAGUGUGGGUAUCGAACAGGAUUAGAUACCCCAGUAGUC
rnacentral:rRNA from 1 species